rnacentral:rRNA from 1 species
AGGACGAACGCUGGCGGCGUGCCUAAUACAUGCAAGUCGAACGGUCUUUCUAUGGAAGCUUGCUUCCACUGAGGAGAUAGUGGCGAACGGGUGAGUAACACGUGGGUAACCUGCCCAUAAGAGGGGGAUAACAUCCGGAAACGGGUGCUAAUACCGCAUAGUUUUCUUGAUCGCAUGAUCGGGAAAGGAAAGACGGCCUUUGUGCUGUCGCUUAUGGAUGGACCCGCGGCGUAUUAGUUAGUUGGUGAGGUAACGGCUCACCAAGACGAUGAUACGUAGCCGACCUGAGAGGGUGAUCGGCCACAUUGGGACUGAGACACGGCCCAAACUCCUACGGGAGGCAGCAGUAGGGAAUCUUCCGCAAUGGACGAAAGUCUGACGAAGCAACGCCGCGUGAGUGAAGAAAAGGUUUUCGGAUCGUAAAACUCUGUUGUCAGAGAAGAACAAGUUGGAGAGUAACUGCUCCAGCCUUGACGGUAUCUGACCAGAAAGCCACGGCUAACUACGUGCCAGCCGCGGC